ACCGGAGGAGAGCGAGCUCAGUCCCAGGAGGAUGCUGAAGGCAAGGAGGCGGCUCUCGGGUGCUGUGCCAGGGCAGUGAUGGUGCUCCCAUGCAGGACUCCUCGGCUGCGGGGGAUCCUCUGCUCUCCGUGCUCAGCCGGCUGCGAGGCUUCCAAGUUUUGUUCAGUUAUUCCUGAGUUUGGAAGAUAAAGAGUAGGUAGACCAAGACAAUGACUCAGAGAUGGAUUAGAAGAACAAACUGGAUUGCUAAGUCUUUGGGGGAAGAAGACUGUAUGUUCCUGGGCUUGUAUAGAAACCAGGAGACGUGUGCCAUAAUUCCGGUGUAAGAAAUAAGAAGCAAGGUCUUCCCACCCACUGCGUUGAACCAGACUGCCCAAACCCAGCAGCGUGUUUGUCUUGGAGCAAUGCAGGGCUCAAUACAAAUGUUACUUGACCUAGAAAAAGAGGGCUCACAAGGAAAAGGAGAAGCCUUUCAAUAUUUUGAUGAGUUCCUGCCAUCCAAACUCACCAAGGUAACUGUGCUGAAGAACAAAUGCUGUUCUGAUGGAGACUCAGUGGAAACAGACCUAAAGAUUUCACAUUUUUUCUUGAUAUUAUUGUGCUUCUGAAAAAGUGAAUUGUUAAAGGACCCCCUCCUGCUUCUCCAGCCAAAUGUCUGCUCCUGCCUGCUUGGAGGCUGCUCUGCAGCAAGGAAACAAUUGGAUGGGAAGCACUACACACCGAGGUGCUGCAAAUAGGCAAUGCUGCUUCUCAGCACCUCAAAUUGGUUUUGUCAUGUACGAUCAUAACACAAGCUGGAUACUGAAACAUUGUGAUUCAAUAAUUUGAGCUCUUGUCUGAAUUGGCACAAAUAAUGCUAAACACUUUUCAUGAAAUCUACUUUAAUGAUGGAAAUAUUGCUGAUUUUUGGUGCAAAGGUACAUCUGUUUUAUUUACAAUGCCCAAAGUUAACUUUACUUAUUAGCUGC
rnacentral:lncRNA from 1 species